UUCUACAUACUAUUCCACACUGGCCCUAUAUAAACACAAAAUAACAAUAUUAAUUGGGUCUUGCACCAGAAGAAAAAUUAGGAGAGUUCAGCACUUUGGAGAGGAAGCAGAUUGGAUUUAAGAAGAGAAAAUAUAAAGAAAGACCUUCUUUAGGAAUAAGCUUGAGAAGUCAAGAGAUUUUCAAUUAUGCUUUAAAACAGAGUUUUCUCAUCUUGGAUAAGCUGUUUGGCCUCUCGGCUGCUGUAUCCCAACUUUGCAGAAUUUCAAACACGGAUAAUCAUCAACUCUCACCCACUGGCUCUUGCCCUAUGUAAGAGAGCAUCACACUUAAGUAGUUAAUAAUUGUGGGUUACAGUUUACUUAUUUUCUGACAUCUGUUUGCAUUUGUGGCAAGGGUAGGCAAAGUCUUCCAUCAGGUUUGCUGUAAAUUCAAAUACCAGCCAUCCUGCCCUGGCUAGCCCAGCUGGGUCUCUGGGUAUUAACUCGGCAGACAUCUGAUAAAGUGUUCCAGCAGGAAAAGUCAUUACCCACAGCUUUGCUUGGGGGAAGGAAGCGGAGGACCUGGGCCAUUUUACAUUUUUCUCAUUUCUCCCUGUCACGUUGGGACACAAUAUCAUGCAACCUAACAGUGUGAUGAGCUGAGAUGAGACACUGGGUCUGAGCAUUCGAUGUUCGAGGCUGCCAAACACAACACCCACAACAUGUUAAAUGAAGAAAGUGACUCAGUAUGCAGAGAGAGACUUCUCCCGGUGAGUUGGGGCCAGGACUGACACAAAUCCCAAGUCAGAUGUGGGCAGCUUUCUUCUCUGUGACUAUUUUGGAUUGAAUGCAAAUGUGAAUCAGUCUGUCAAGCAAGCUCUGAUUGUGAUUGACAUAUUUAUUGUUGACAAUGCUAGGAGAACCCAGAAGUCCAUUUAUACUUGAGGACCCUUCUGCCUGGAGCAUACGUGAGGUAAUACAUGUUAUAUAUGUAUUCAUGUUCAUUUUACUUUGUGAAAGAAGAUACAUAUCACUUACACUGAGGAAAAAUUCAUGGAGAAAAUCAAGUGAAGAAUGGUAUGCUUCAAUGUGCAUUUAGACUCCAUCCUUUCCUUCUAUGGUGGUAGACAGCCUUUUUCAUAGUGAGUCUCUUGGAACUGUCCUAGAUCCUUGCAGUGCUGAUAAUGCCUAUGUCAUUCAUAGUGUUAUUGUUCUUUCUCCUUACCUAGUUAUUAUAAUCAUUGUAUGUGUUAUUUUCCUGAUUUUGAUUACUUCACUAUAUGUCAACUUUAAUAAGCCUUCCCAUGAAUCCUCUCUAUUUUAUUUAAUAAGCAUUAAUUAAGCAUUAUGUGUCAGGCAGUGUGCUAGACACUGGGGUUACAUACAUGCCCACAAACCAUUCUCUAUUCUCACGGUAUUUAUUUUCCAUUGGCCUUAUUGAUUUAUAACUGUUUUAUGUGUGGGUCAUAUAUCAUUAUGGAAAACAUUGCCUAUAUUGGUUGUGCUAACUUACAAAACUUUUAGUUUCUGGGAACCCAGGAGAAGAGCAAAAUUUUACCAGCCUACCUAGUGAAUACUGACUGGGAUUACUGAAUAAAGAACUGCCAUUCAUCAAGUUCUUAAUAAAGACAUGGAUUUAGGAUUGAAAGGGAAUUCAGAGAUAAUCUAGCCCGACCCCCUCAUUUUACAUCUGAGGAUACUGAGACCCAUUAACUAACUUGUGACUAGCUUAGACAGUUUUUAGUAUCUCCAGAAAAGUGACUUCUUGAAAAAACUCCUGAUCAAACACUAACUAGGUCUAUACAUGCCAGUUUUAGCACUGUCUAAUAUUUAAAGGCACAUUCCCCUUGCCCUCUCUGUCUUAGGGAUAUUAUCUCUAAGAAAGCCAUACUCUGAAGUAAGUUUGUCUAAUUGGCACAGAACAGAACAUUCAUCUCAGUCAUGGAAAUAUUCAUAAAUCAGACAGAGAGAGAAAGAAGAAGAGGGGGAUAAAGAGAGAGACAGAGAAAUAGAAGAGAGAGGGGGAGAGAGAGAGAGAGAGAGAGAGAGAGAGAGAGAGAGAGAGAGAGAGAGAGAGAGAGAGAGAGAGAGAGAAUUUCAAUAACUAUGUCCUAUAAGGUUUUUUAGUUUUACUAGUCCUAAUGCAAAGGUAGGGGUCAAAAGAGAAUAUAAGAAGAUAAAAAAAAUCUGUUUCCUUAUUUUAAAAAAUGGUUACUUGCUUUAAAGUGGAGAAAGUGGCCUUCUAGAAAUCAGAAAUAACAAGAUUUGGUGUUCUGAACAGGUCCAAUUUGGGAGACAGAGUGAUUUUAAUUUUAUUCAUGAUGUUGGAUGAUAGGAUCAAGAUCCAAUUUACUCAGAAGGUUCAGUGAAAAAUAAUGUCAAGCCAGUUAUUUCAGUGUUUUAACAAAAAUGUAUCCUUUUAUCUCACUUUUUUAGUCUUGAAUAGGAAGUAUUUAUAACAUAACAUACUUUUAUACAACUUAUUUUAUACUAUUCUUUGCUUAGAAUAAACAACCCUGGACAAUUUCUGAGAGUAAGGAGAAGUAUAUAUAAUGUUUAAGAAAUGUAUGUAGGUAAUUAUUUAUAGAGUUAGCAAAAAUUCUAUAAUAGUUAAACAACAAGCUUCUCUAUGAAGAAUGAUCUUUAAGCAGAGAUAUAAAGAAGGAAAAUGAUUAAAGAGAAGUUAGAACCAAAGAUAAGUAAGGAGGUAGAAGCAGAGCACAUAUUAACCCUCAAUGAGUUCAAGCUACCCAGCCCAAAUUAAUGACUUCCUAGCAUGUUGAAAGGAUUGGUAAAUGUGACUAUUGGUUAUUGAUCUUUGAAAGUUUGUGCAGAACAGGGGUGGUGCUUCAGUACCAAAGAAGGGCAAAUAGUGGCAGUCAAGAUGGUGGAAGAGAAGCAGCAAUAGGGGCACUUGCCUUCUAAACAACUUUAAAAUAAUGUGUUAAAUUGAACUCUGUUGCAGCAUAGACACAAACAGUUUGGGGCGAGACAUUUUUCUAACAUAAGACAACUUAGGAGGUCAGAAGGAUUGGUUUGUAGAACUGAGAUGGAGACUGGGCCCAGAGCACACAAAUGGCGGCACCUGUGUUUGGUCUUAGAAGUUGCAAGUGUGGAAAGGAAACAAGAUUGACAGUUUGUGGGGGAAGGGGCCAACUGGGAGUGGCAGUUGGGUCUUGUGACUAGCACUUCCUUCCUGUUGGGUGUGGCAGUUGGGUCUUGUGACUAGCACUUCCUUCCUGCCAUGUGGAACUUGCUUCCUGGUGUUGGAGGAGAGAGGAGCUUGUUCAGCCCAGUCUGGAGUGGCAUGCUCUUCUUGGUUCAGCUGGAAGACACAAGCUUCUUAAGGUCAGAUUUGUUCUUUUUGCUUUCUGUCUACUGCUAAGAUUCUGAAUUAUACAAAACUGGACUGAUAUAGAGGAGAUGGAAGUGGGAAAAUCCUCCGCCAGCCUCUAGGGCUGGCCCUAGAAGCUAAGCAAAAACUCCAAUUCCAACUGGAUUAUUAAACUUUAUAUUAUUUGAAUUCACAGUCAGAUAAGUGGACUAUCUUUUCUGGUCAUAGAGGGAGCUGAACUUCAGUUUCAGUCAUUCAAAGACAAACAGACCUCAUUGGAACCCUGCUGCUUCCUCUCAGCGGGAGGCAUCUCCCUCCCUUGCCUCACCAAGCAAUAUACCCUCUUUACCUCACCUCCUCCAUACCCCUGCUACAAACCUCCCUUAUCCCCCUGUUAUUCCAAAUCCUAUUUCCUUUCCCAAUAAAUAUUACACAAGUGAAGCAGCAGCAGCUUUGAGAGCUCUCAGUCAAAAGACAGUAAGGAAAUUGAACUGGUCAGAAAGAGAUUAGAGGCAACUCUUUAUUCUCACUGGGUACUCUUUGCCAAUUCUAUUGCCUAUACACAGUUUAACAUUGCAGUUCCAGGGGGAAGAGGCAUAUUUGUGUGUCAAGGAAGCAGAGUCCUUAUCACAGUUCUAGGGCAGAAAGAAGCAUUAACACUUGUAGCUUGAGACCAGGGACCCUUCAGAGUUCAGACCAGAAGAGCAUUGACCACUCCUCUUCCGGGAUCAUACUUCCUUACAGGCACCAAAAGCUUGUAGACUUUCUGAAAUUAGCUAUAAGAACAACAGUGUCAAAAAGCCUAAAGCCUAGAAAGUGCUCCCUCUCCAGAUAAAAAAGAAUUCAAGUUUAACGUAAUAUAUAAAGUCAAGGAAAAGGCUAAAAAAUAAGAAAGCAACAAAAAAAGAACAUGAUGAUAAAAAGCUACCUCAAUGAAAGGGAGUAUUAAGACACAAAUAGAGAAGAUAACAAUGUGAAAAGAGGUAUAAUCAAAACCUCAAAAAAAAAAAAACUGAAAACUGGAAAGCAAUCCAACGAGAAUUCCUAGGAAAGCUGAAGGAAAAGAAAAAGAUUUUUAAAAUCACAAAAGAGUGGUAUAGGAAACAUGGAAAAAGAAAUGAGAGUAAUGCAAGAAUAUUAUGAAAACAAGAAUUAACAGCUUACUAAAGACAUAAAAAUACCUUAAAAACAGAAUUGAAUGAGUAUAAAAGAGGCACAAGAAUUCACUAAAGAAAAGAGCUUUCUAAAAAAGCAGAACUGGGCCAAUGGAAAAAAGUGAUACAAAACCUCACCCAAAAAAUAAUUCCUAAAAAAUUUAGAUGUGGAUAAGUGGAAAUUAAUGACUCCAUGGAACAUGAAGAAACAGUUAAACAAAGUGAAAAGAAUGAAGCUUCACCUGGGUACCAAUGUGGGCCAGGAUGUUCCUCGAUUAUCAUCUCCUAGAAAACUGGUCUUUCUAAACUCCAUAGGUAGACACUCCUCUAUGAUGGGGAUUGGGGACGUCAUGAUGUCUGGGUUCUUGCUAAACUUUAUGCUUCGCUAUAAUAACUAUAAGAAGCAGACAAGCAGUGACUCAAAUAGGACACCAGGAACAUCUGAUCUAACUAUUCUAGAGAGCAAGAUCUAUAAAACUAUGUAUGUCCUUUGAUCCAGCAAUACCACUAGGUGUGUAUUCUAAAGAGAUUUUUUUAAGAGAAAAAGGACCUAUUUUUACCAAAAUAUUUAUGGCAGUUAUUUUUGAGGUGGCAAAGAAUUGGAAACUGAGAAGAUGCCCAUCAACUAGAGAACAGCUGAACAAGUUGCCAUAUAUAAUUUGUGAUGGAAUACUAUUGUGCUUUAAAAAAUCUGGAAAGACUCAUAUGAACUGAUGCAAAGUGAAGUGAACAGAAGGAGGAGAAUACUGUACACAGUAAGAGCAAUAUUGUAUGAUGAUCUGCAGUGAAUAACUUAGCUGUUCUCAAUUAUAUAAUGAUCCAAGAAAACUUAAAAGGACUCAUGAAGAAAAAUGCUAUCCAUGUUCAGAGAAAGAACUAGUAGAGUAGUAAUACUGAUUGAAGCACUCCAUUUUCAUUUUAUUUUCUUUGAGAGCUUUUUUAUGUCUUCUUUCAUAACAUGACUAAUAUGGAAAUAAAGUUUGCAUAAUCACAAAUGAAAUAACAGGGUGUAGGGAAGUAAGGAAAGGAUAGAAUUUGGAAGUUAAAAUGUUGGAAAAAAAUAAAUGUUGAACAUUGUUUUAUGUAUAGUAGUAAUAGUCUCUCAAUAACAGAGGAUGACGAUUGUCUUUGUGUACUUUCAUCCGGGUUAGGAUAGAUGAGUGUGCACAAAGACACUUAUGUGUGAAAGAGAUUUAAGUGGAAGAGUCGAUGAACAGAAAUAGUCCCGCUCUCUCGGCAUUGGAAGCCUGGGUCCAGUGGCACGAAAAGUCGUUACACCUGGAGACUUCCUCAGCUGCAUUGGAUGGCCGUGUUGUCUUUUGUGCUCCAACAUGCCCUAAGCACUCCACAGUGCUUUGCUGCGUCGCCUCUCAGCCAUUGAACCUUCUUAUUGGUUUCUGUAUAAUGGGGACAAUAUUACUAAAACUAGAAAACAUAAUUGUGGAAUGUUCAACAAAAUAAAAAUGGAGUACAUUAAAAUAUCUUUAAUUUAAUUGAA